UACGUAGGGGGCUAGCGUUGUCCGGAAUCAUUGGGCGUGAAGAGCGUGUAGGCGGUCCGGUAAGUCCGCUGUGAAAGUCGGGGGCUCAACCCUCGAAUGCCGGUGGAUACUGUCGGGCUAGAGUGCGGAAGAGGCGAGUGGAAUUCCUGGUGUAGCGGUGAAAUGCGCAGAUAUCAGGAGGAACACCUAUUGCGAAGGCAGCUCGCUGGGACGUAACUGACGCUGAGACGCGAAAGCGUGGGGAGCAAACAGG
rnacentral:rRNA from 1 species